CUUCAGCGAGCCCAGCCACAGCGGCCGGUCGGCGGGCCGGGCCUGCCCGUAGGCGGACAGCAGCGCCUCGGCCUC
rfam:Streptomyces cyaneogriseus subsp. noncyanogenus strain NMWT 1, complete genome.